UAGAUAACGGUUUUGCGAAAAUCCGUUAUCUAUGUAGUGUUGUCUAAAUGCAUAGAUAACGGUUUGAACAAAUGCGUUAUGUUUUUGCGUUAUCUAUUAGUUACAUACAUAACGGUACUACAAAACCGUUAUGCCGACCGUUAUCUAUGAACAUCUUUUUAUAACGGUUAUUUUAACCGUUAUAUAUGAGCGCCUCAAAACUGUUAUGUAUUAUUUUUUAUAUUUAUUUUAAAAUUUAAUAAUAUUAUAAAAAAUUAAAACCCUAGCCUCCCCCACCAAAUUUCCCCAAAUCAGACCUGCCUCUUUCUCUCUUCACCAUCGUCGUGCCAGCCACCGCCGUCGCGACUCGCCGCCACGACCAGCGCCGCCUGGCACUCGUUGUGCCCCUUAUCUCGCCGUCCUCUGUCUGUUUACCUGUAGCAGUAGCUGCGGAGAUAUCUCUCCAUCUCAAACCCGCGUCGCCUGCCACCAGCCAUGUCGACUCGCCGCCACGUCUCGCGUCUCUGCCACACCGGCCGUCUGUUCACCGCCCCUUUAACCCUAGGCGCCGCGAUUUAAUUUGAAUCCAAGGGUUAGGGUUCCGCCGAGCAGGAUUUUGAAGAAGGCGUCGGACGGCGCGGUCGUUUACGGCAGGUAUCUGCCGGAGAACAGCGGGUGGAAUUGCUUUAGCAAGGUUUCUCGCUCUCUUGCUGCCAGUGAAGAAGCUCUUACUUGUUGUAGAUGCCUCCCAGGUGCUUCUAGAUUCUUGAGGUAAUGGUCU